UGAGGCACGAAAGCAUGGGUAGCAAACAGGAUUAGAUACCCUGGUAGUCCAUGCUGUAAACGAUGAUUACUAGGUGUGGGUGGUCUGACCCCAUCCGUGCCGGAGUUAACACAAUAAGUAAUCCACCUGGGGAGUACGACCGCAAGGUUGAAACUCAAAGGAAUUGACGGGGGCCCGCACAAGCAGUGGAGUAUGUGGUUUAAUUCGAAGCAACGCGAAGAACCUUACCAGGUCUUGACAUCCAACUAACGAAGCAGAGAUGCAUUAGGUGCCCUUCGGGGAAAGUUGAGACAGGUGGUGCAUGGUUGUCGUCAGCUCGUGUCGUGAGAUGUUGGGUUAAGUCCCGCAACGAGCGCAACCCUUGUGAUUAGUUGCUACGCAAGAGCACUCUAAUCAGACUGCCGUUGACAAAACGGAGGAAGGUGGGGACGACGUCAAAUCAUCAUGCCCCUUAUGACCUGGGCUACACACGUACUUUAAUGCGACUCCCCAUAGGGAAGCAAGACCGCGAGGUGGAGCAAACCCCUAAAAACGGUCUCAGUUCGGAUCGCAGGCUGCAACCCGCCUGCGUGAAGCUGGAAUUGCUAGUAAUCGCGGAUCAUCAUGCCGCGGUGAAUACGUUCCCGGGCCUUGUACACACCGCCCGUCACACCAUGGGAGCCGGUAAUACCCGAAGUCGGUAGUCUAACCGCAAGGAGGACGCCGCCGAAGGUAGGAUUGGCGACUGGGGUGAAGUCGUAACAAGGUAA
rnacentral:rRNA from 1 species